GUUCUCCGCUCUCUCCAGGUUACGCUGGCAGAGCGAUCGCCGUUCCUCGAUUCGGUCAAUCUAAAUCAAAAAGCAACUUUUGGAUACUGUUCUUGCAAAUCGCUCCAGAGCUGGGAAGGAUAUCAGGAACAUAUAUCUUAUCUUGGAGGUCUCCGUGGUUGAGGAGUACUACAUCAAGAACCGACACAGGAAACAUUGAAAGGGGCCAGAAGUGGCGGUGAAGAAAUGGC